AGAGUUUGAUCAUGGCUCAGAUUGAACGCUGGCGGUAGGCUUAACACAUGCAAGUCGUGCGAGAAAGUAUCUUCGGAUAUGAGUAGAGCGGCGGACGGGUGAGUAACGCGUAGGAAUCUACCUAGUAGAAGGGGAUAGCCCGAGGAAACUCGGAUUAAUACCGUAUACCUCCUUCGGGAGAAAGAAGGCCUCUCUUUGAAGCUUUCGCUACUAGAUGAGCCUGCGUAAGAUUAGCUUGUUGGUGAGGUAAAGGCUCACCAAGGCUACGAUCUUUAGCUGGUCUGAGAGGACGAUCAGCCACAUUGGGACUGAGACACGGCCCAGGCUCCUACGGGAGGCAGCAGUGGGGAAUAUUGGACAAUGGGCGCAAGCCUGAUCCAGCCAUACCGCGUGUGUGAAGAAGGCCUUCGGGUUGUAAAGCACUUUAAGCAGGGAGAAAAAGUUAUAGGUUAAUACCCUAUAACCUUGAUGUUACCUGCAGAAUAAGCACCGGCUAAUUCCGUGCCAGCAGCCGCGGUAAUACGGAAGGUGCAAGCGUUAAUCGGAAUUACUGGGCGUAAAGCGCGCGUAGGUGGUUUGUUAAGUUGGAUGUGAAAGCCCUGGGCUCAACCUAGGAACUGCAUCCAAAACUAACUCACUAGAGUACGAUAGAGGGAGGUAGAAUUCAUAGUGUAGCGGUGGAAUGCGUAGAUAUUAUGAAGAAUACCAGUGGCGAAGGCGGGCCUCCUGGAUCUGUACUGACACUGAGGUGCGAAAGCGUGGGUAGCGAACAGGAUUAGAUACCCUGGUAGUCCACGCC
rnacentral:rRNA from 1 species